AUACGUAGGUGGCAAGCGUUGUCCGGAUUUAUUGGGUUUAAAGGGUGCGUAGGCGGCUUUGUAAGUCAGUGGUGAAAUACGGCAGCUCAACUGUCGAGGUGCCAUUGAUACUGCAGAGCUAGAGUACUGAUGAGGUAGGCGGAAUGGACGGUGUGGCGGUGAAAUGCUUAGAUAUCGUCCAGAACACCGAUAGCGAAGGCAGCUUACUAAAGAGUAACUGACGCUGAGGCACGAAAGUGUGGGGAUCAAACAG
rnacentral:rRNA from 1 species